CUCAGACCCCAUGCCCCCUCCUGUACUCCAGACGCCUACCCCAAACCCACUUCUACAUCUGACGUCCAUCCUAGACUCCACGCCCCCUCCACAGACGUGCAGCCCUUGACCACUUGCCAAAAUCUUGGAGUCGUCCCCCCCAUUAAAAAUUAUAGCCCAUCCCUGUUCUGUGUACACUGAAGAGGAUGCCUGCGGGCACUGCUAUGCUGUUAACGAGCAUAGUAUCCGGUCCCUCAGCUCUGCCGCUACUACCUCUCCCACACUCCCUCCCAGGCUCAUACCAAAAACUGUCUGAAGAUAUGUACAGGGAGCUUCCUCUGUGCUAGAUUUUAUAGUGAACAAUGGGUUCACACUUUGCCAUCCUCUGUCCUCCCAACACAGGAAAAUUACACCAGCUCUGCUCCUGGCCACAAGAAAGAAGGUAACCUUUGCCCUUUGAUCAAUGCUUAACAGACAGACAAUGUGUUAUUGGACAGAUGGACAUUAAUGAGAACCACAAUGUUUUCCGGCUUCUUUUUUCAAAUGAACACCCUGUGAAAAGAGCUCACUUAUGUUGUGACAUUUCCAUUCUCGUAACAACUACGUCCCUGAGUCAUUGAGCCCAGGAUAUUUGGCAGAGACUCUUCUCUGUGCAUUAAAGAAGUAAAUCUAAUAACUGGAUGCGGUAGUAGUCUAUUAUCUUUAGAAGGACCAGCUACUAACGUGGCAGUUUGUUACGCAGCCAACCUUUGCCAGAGCCACAGACAUGGAGAGUUUCAGCGGGCAGGUUCAGUGAUGAACCUGCCGUCUGAGCAGAGCACAGCGGAGCAGCAGGCACGAUGAGAGAGCCAAAAGGAGAUGCCAGACAAGACCGAUGACGAGGGAUGUUGACCCGACCGAGACCAUUGAUGUGUUCCCUGACAGACUGUGGACUUUGCUAUCAAAAAGACACAUGAGGCUUUGUUUCUUCCUACAGGUGCCAAAGACCCCCAACAAGAGACACUGCCGAUCUUUCAAGACCACCAAUGAGGGAGGGAAAAUGCCCACUGCCACUGCCUUUCCUAAUGGACUAUGGACUUAUCUAUCAAAGAGAUACAUGAGAUAGCCCACUUAGGAGGGACCCAGCCAGGGACAUCACCCGUUUCCUUCCCCGACGGGCUUUGUAUCUUUCUACAGGUGGUAGAAGAGACCAUCAAUAAGAGAUGCUGAUGACCAACCGAGGCCACCAAUGAAGGACAAGAUCAGGGAAAGCACCCAUAGCCUCCCCGAUGGACUACGUAUUUGCCACUAAAAUGAUAUACAACAUCACCGACAUGGAACAAUGGAGAGUGACGGAGACCUCUGUUGAGUACCAAGAUCAGGGAAGGCACCCCUGGCCUCCCCUGGCAGACUAUGUGUUUGCCACAAAUGCUCCAUACAAGACUACCAACGAGGGAUGGCGGAGAACAACAGAGACCAGUGAUGAGGAUUAAGGACAGGAGAAGCACCCACAGCCUCGCUGAUGAACUACAUAUUUUUCACCAAAGCAAUGCAAGAUCAACAAUGAGGGAUAACAGAAACUGACAGAGAUGGCCAGUGAGGUCAGGGGAAGCUUCUGCUUCCUUCCCUGAUGGACUAUGUUUCUUGUUGCAGGAAAACCACCAGACCAAAGAAGGCAUAGGACACAUUACAUCAUGGGGUAUGCUCCAACCAUGAGCCUAUGAACUUUGCCCAAUACUAAGACUCUUUUCACUUUAUAGGCGUGUGGCCAGACAGACUAACCCCAUAUCAUCCAUCUUAUUUGCCUCUCUGAAGCCCAGGGCAGAGAAGG